GGGUUGUGAGGUUAAGCGACUAAGCGUACACGGUGGAUGCCCUGGCAGUCAGAGGCGAUGAAGGGCGUGCUAAUCUGCGAUAAGCGCCGGUAAGGUGAUAUGAACCGUUAUAACCGGCGAUACCCGAAUGGGGAAACCCAGUGUGAUUCGUCACACUAUCAUUAACUGAAUCCAUAGGUUAAUGAGG
rnacentral:rRNA from 3 species